GAAGCUGUGGAGAAGGAGGGAGAAAAAGCACUUCUGAAAUUCUUCCUGUUUAUUGAUAAAAUGAAGAAUCGCCACCACCUUAAAGCAUAAAUUUGCAGUAGAAGCCUCAUGUUUUUAACAAACAUCUUUACAAAAAUGAUGCACCCCAUACUAAUAACAAAGCUUUUAACAACCAUCGUGGUAAGCACAUCUGUUAAGUUUCAACCUUUUGUUCCAACAGGUACACCAGUAAACUUAAGGCUUAUUCAUGAGCUCGUAUGGAAAAAUGGAUGGAUACUGUUUACAUGUUUUCAAACUCUUGAAUGACCCAACGCACGCUACUCCCCAGAACCCCAGACACAGGACUUGGGAGCAGGACGCCCUCCGGUCGCCCCCCGCCCCAGCCAGCUGCUUCUCUGGCGAGUUCUGCGGCGGAGCCAGCUUCCCCCGCAGCCCCCCACCGCUCGGCGGGGACAGCAACCUCCACCGAUAUCGCGACACGGCCUCCCCGACACCCGCCGCCGCUUCAGAGGAGCGGGAAGGCCCCUCCGCCACCCUGCGUCCCGGGAGCCCGACCGCGACCACGGCCCCGGCCCAGCACGACGCCGCCCCGAGCCGGCAGGCCGCGGCCCGGAGGGUAGCGAGGCCGACCCAGACAGCGCCGGCCGCCGCCGCACCGCCCCGAGCCGCCCCACGGCCCGGCGCCGGCGCUAACGGCAGCCAUUGCCACGCUGGAGCCGCCGCGGCCGGCCCGGGGCCCAUCGGGCUCCAUCGCGCUCCAUCCGGGCGGACGGAGGCUCACGGAGAGCACAGGGCGGCGGACAGAGCUUCCCCGCGCCGGGCAGGCCCCGCGGGGCCGGUACUGACCAUCGUGCCAGGUACUGUCCGGUCUAGGCCUAGGCCGGGGCCCGCUCCGCACAACGACUGCGCUCGGCAGCAGGGGGGAAAA